rnacentral:lncRNA from 1 species
UGUUUCAUGGCUAGAAAGAGGUCAUCCCUGAGAGGUCCCAGCCUAGACCUGAAGUCAAACUGUGAAGUUUGACCCUCCCCAGAGUGCAGCUCCUGCUAAGACCAGACUGAGCCAGAACAGAGGAGAGGGCAGAUAGAGAAAGUGCCCUGCUGCCAUGACACCAUCUCCCUCAUGAAGGGCAGGGCUUCCUUCUCCUUGCUGAGUUUCUUGUUUUCAGUUUGAGACAGAAUCUUACAGCCCAGGCUGGCCUCUAACUUGCUGUGUGGCAGAAGAUGACCUUGAACUUGUGAUUCUCCAGAUUUCAUCUCCUUAGUGCUGGAAUUAUAGGGUUUACUGCUGUGUUUACAGGAAGGAUUUGCUCAUUCUCCGUGCUAGGGCUGGGUGUAAUUGGGGACUCAUCAUCUUGUUUGCAAGACUGAUGCUUUCUAGUUCUCGAAUCACCUUUGAAGUGUCUCUUUGAGGCCUGUCCUCCCAGACUGGGAAAGAUAAUGGCUUUCCUGUAGGACUCCGGCUGGCUUUACCCAGCCUGACAAAGCUUCCCAGUCAUCAAUAAGGCUGGCUUUUGUGUUGCUGCUAUUGAAAUCUAUAGUCUAAGAAACAGAUUCAUUCACAAGGAAACAGACAGCUACUAGCCAGUAGACGGGAGGCAACAAAUGAUCGCGUUUUAAUACAUUAUUUAUCACCUGUUCAAUUCAAACAUCUUUCUUGUGCAGCUCAUCAGUUCAGCAACACUGAAAGCCUCUUACUCACUCGCUGCUGUAUCAAUACAGACAACAAAGGUGUCCUGAUACUACCGAAGCAGUCACUGAUUACCUGAGAACUUCUUGGUUUUUGCCUUUAGUAUUCUGUUUGGAGCACUCUUUUUCUGGGUCAAGCCAUUUCAGUGGUGGAAACAACCUUCUUUCAUUCUCAAGCAUACACGGCAGCACUCUAUACGUUGAGAGGAUAUGGGUUUGAACACCGGCAGGUGUACGAACUCCCAACAUGCUGGGGAGAUGUAUUUGUCAUGUUGUUAACUGAGAUGUGUGUGACUUGGCUCUUGCAAAUGUUUCCUUUAGGGCUGAAAACUCUCCAAGACCCAGCUAAGGCUUCAUGUCCCUUUGCAAAGCUGUGCCCACCUGGCCAUUUUCAAAGUGCUGGAGGUUGGUCUGGGGCCAAGCAUCUCAGGUUUCUUAAAGGCCAGGGCUCUUUCUAUUUGCCAUGGUGGAUGGUGUGGAGUCAUUACUGUGCUAUAGUAGUCAUGACUGCCAUUUAUAAAGCUACCUGUCCUUAUCUGAGAAAAGAUCCUUUAUGCAUAUGCAAAUGUAUCUCCCUUUUCUUGGUUUGUAUACCUCUCCUUUGUGCUGUAUAGUAACCAUUGAGGGAUGUUCAGAAUCCAAACUUCGUCACACAUUAUUGCUCUAAGUAAUAAUGGAUUUGGAAUCUAAAUCUGGAGUUCACUGGUAGGAAUCAGUGAACCUUGUUCCUCUUAUGUACAUGUAACAAUGUCCCCUGUCAACAACUGUCAGUAGAAACACAUGUGGGGGAGAAUAGUAUUAAUUAUAUUCAAUUCCAUGUCAUAAAGGAGUGAUCCAUAUAAUCACCACCAUGUUUUGUACAUAUAAAAAUAUUUCCUGUAAAUAUACACAGGCAAGUGCAUUGCCAUUAUCCAGGAUCCAGGUGGGAAAAGAUAAAGUCAAGGACUUUAGUUUAUUCCAAGUGCAUAUUUUAGUUCUGGUAAAGGAGUUAAUACUUUCAGGGAUUUGUGACACAAUUAUAGAUCUAAUUACUUAAGUUCCUGGUACCAAGUAGGUUAUUUCUACCUGAUCUUCAAAGCCCAGACUCCCCAAGACAGAGACGUACAACCUUGGCCAAGUCAGUAUUAAGCAAAUGAUUUAACAUCUAAUGAGUUAAGAGGUUCCCUAAAAUUAUUUUCCAAUCCUGGUGUCCAGGAACCCAGGGAAGAAUCUAGUCAUGGGUGUGCAUUUAUUUAAUAGAGAUUGAAGAAAAUCACUUGGAAGCUAAGAGUGUUGGUAUUCUAAUAAAAGAAUAGAUUUAGCUUAUAAGAAAAAAAAUCUGGAUUUUUGGAGAAAUUGUUUUUCAUUUAAUCAGAAGCACAUGACAGAAAAAGGAAGCACAUUUGUAUAUAGUGGCAACUAUAUUUCUGAUAAUAAAUUUCAUGAAAUGUUUUCUGUACCAAUCAGAAUAGGCAGCUGAGAACCUUCCUCUCUGAAAAUAAGACAGUUAUUCAAUGAGUACAUUCUUAGGAAAGCUUUCUCACUUUCUUUCAUGAAAAUAUUAGAUUUUGGAAGUUUAAAAUAACUGUAUACCUGUGGAUAGCCUCGAUUCAUGUAACUACAUUCAGGUCAGAUCUUUUAUAAGAAUAGUUAUUGUUGAUAAAUAUAUGGUAUUUUCAAAAAGCAUUUUUAGAUAUCCAUUUAUGGAAGCUUUUUAGAGGAUUAAGUUCUUCCUUUGGUUCUUAGUUUCCUUUCUCAUGUGAGUAGCAGCAGAAGAAAGCAACCAGCCAUUUGAAUUAGCUUAUUACAAAAUGUGGAGUAUGUAUAAACUUUAAAUGAUAUAAUAUUUGGAUUAAUAAAACAGAAUAUAAACACUAUAGAACAGUCAAAAACUACUAUUCUUGAAGCCAGAAAAAAAUCAUUUGGAGACAUAUAACAUAUUAAAAAUAUGGGGACAUAUAACAUAUUAAAAAUGCAAUAGCAGAGAUUGAACUGAUUGACUCACAAUUCUAUAAUUUAUGGAAGAAAGAAAAACAUUAGAGGGUAAGUUUAAGCUGUUUUGAAGACACUUUCCCUUGGUUUUCUGAUAUGUUCUUUUCAAAUAUUCUGAAAAUUUAAGAAGUAUGUGUUUCAGGUACUUAUGGCUAAGUUUUGAUAUUUGAUUGGGUUAUUCCAUAUUUUCAUCUUUCCAAAAAGAGUUUAUGUUUUAACACUUUCAGGAUGUUAAAGAUGUCCUCAAAAUGGUUCAUUGGACAUGGUGAGUGUCAAUGAAUAUUUACUGUAUAAUGAGAUCUGAGGUUAACAACAAUAAAACUGCAAAUCAGAAUAGAAAUAUGUUUCCUAACUUUUCCAUGUAAACAAUAUUUCAAUGUGUAUAAAAGUGUUUAGUUCCUCAGUUUUGUGCUACAUAUGAUUUGAAGCAGUCUGACCCGGAUGGCACCAGAUUGAAUCAGUCUUCCCACUCCACGAGGGCUCCAUGUUUAUCAAGGUCUCUUCCUUCUAAAACUGGGAGCCCUGUUAGGAUUAGCAACAUGUUCUAAGAUGGGCCCAUAGGGUACUUGCCUCUGUGCCUUGCUAACCAAGCUUAGGAUUUGACAAUGGGCAUGAAAUGUUCAUAAAGAAUUGCUUUGAUGAUGCUUCACAAACAGAAAGAAGGUCUCUGGGGGAGGAAGGAAGGUUGGGGAGGGGCUGGAAUUUUAUCUUACCUUCUCAUGUGUUCCUAUUGGGGAAAGAAAAACCAGGAAAUCCCUUGAAGCUCUGAGAAUCAGACAAUACCAGGCUUCCAGCUGGACACUACAGAAGCCAAGUGCCACACCCCACUGCAGGUCUCAGUGGGGCCCCAGGACUUCACAUCUUUAACAAGUCUGAGUGGUGCUGAGGAUGUGGUUAUGGGGACUGUUCCCUUCCCAGGGUUAGGGCAACAACUAAAAGAGAAAGAUGCUGACAGUCCAUGGUUUGUUAGGCUAAAACAGGCCUGCCUGGAUCUCACACUCUUUUGCAUCUCUUCUCUGAACCUGGGGGCUUGACAUGAACUUCUGGAGAUGCCUGGCCACUCUGGGAUGAGGUAAGAGGCUCCAGAGUCAUCAUCACUUUGAAACUAUUUUGAGGAAGAUCCACCUCAGUGUCCCUAGAUUAUAGUCACUGAGGUAAGACACAACCUCGACAUUUCCUAGCCAGACAUCUUGGCAGAUGAUUUAACCUCCGUGCCCCUAAUUUCCUCAUCUACAAAUGGGAAGAACAAGAAUUAGCUGCUUCCUGGACUGUAGUCCAUGAACAUGGUAUGUGUAAAGUAGUGGCUCAUAGCAAGCAAGAGAAUUAGUCAGAAAAAAGGCAGUUCAGAGGGUACAAAUGAGGAGGUUACAAUGCAGGAACUACACACAGAAGAGUAUAAAAAUGUUCAGGUACUCAGAGAGGAAACUAAGCCUCUGGAGGUCAGAGAGAUCCACAGCUUGCAGGAGGACCACCCUGGAAAGAGCUACUGUAGUCAUAUAAGGGAUAAGCCACUGCCCAGGAUUCUGCAUCAGUGUGAGAUUGUGGUAAAAUAUAUAUAUGCUGGCAUCUCUUUCUUCCCCCUGCUGUUCUUCAAGGUCUCUGAUUAGCAAUAGCAGAAGGCAAGAGGACCAGCUACAGUGUGCAGGAGUCUGCCUCCCACAGGGCAGAGCAGAGAGAGAAACACAUCAAGGAUGGAGCAGUGGCAGGUGGGGGGUCUGGAACACAGUGCCGGAUAGGUGUGUAGUUGCUACUGGAUGAAGAUUUACACCAGUUUCUUGGAAAUUUCAAUUUAUGCUUGUGGUAUACUUUCAAUCUUAAAGGUAUUUCAUAUCUCAGGGGAUGUUUGCACCAACACUCUAAAACACCAUGUCAUUUGGAGUUCAAGUUACACGAGCACUCUAGUCAUUAUCAAAGUGUGGGAGAAUCUGUGAUGUGGCAGACUUGAAUACUUUCUCUCUGCCCAGUGCAGCAUUCCUGGAAGUGGCUUCUCCCUUAGAACAGAAAGCAAGUUCAGUCACUUGGCCCUGACUCGAUGAAAUUAAUGUUUGGUCUAUUGAUCAGGCAGGUGUUACCUGGGUGUGUCGGGUGGGGAAAGACACAUCUAGCACACUCAGAACAGCAAACAUUUGUGAUAUGUUGACUUUGUCUUAUUUAUAUCAUGCAGCAAUAAAUGUGUUUGUUGUUGCUAAGUCCCUAAGCCAUAUCCCUUUCAGAAGCUAUCAGACUGGCUGGGCCAAGAGCACAGAGGGAGACUCUUUUCCUGGAGUGGUGUAGAAAAGCCUGGAAGCCUGGCAUCUCUCUGAAAUGCUGUAUCAAAGGCCCAGCCCAGCACACAGGGCAGUGGGUAUACGAGGCCUGCCUCUGAGAAUCCUCCAAGGAGGCCUCGAGGAGCCAAGGCACACUUAAGCUUGUCUCCAAAGAACCCAAAACUCAUCCCAGACUUGCUUUGUCUGUUUAGCAAACUCACUGCACACCUCACCUGUCUUUGCGCCUGCCGUCUAGGAGGGUCUUUGAAAUUUAUUUUCUCCUUUUAGCCUGCUGUAUUUUUAAUGUCUGAGUGAAAGAACAAAGGAAGGCGAACACCAGACAAGAUCGUUUCAUUCCUCCAUGAGCUGCGGUGUAGCUCCGCUCAAGCUCAGCUAACAUCAAUGUUUUAAAAUUCCGUCUUUGCUAGAGAACCGGUGCUGGGGUAGUCAUCCACGCCAAAGUCAGGGCCCUGUUUCUGCCUUUCAUUUGGGGACAUAAAAGGCCCGUGCAUCAAUCAUUAACAAUCUAUUAACACUAGCAGCUCAGAGAGGUUUUCCUGGUAUGGUCAACCUCAUUGGAAGAAAUUCCUGCUGCCCAGCUGGCCGUCUGUCCGUGUGAUCCACCCAUACUGGCUGUUUUCAGCUUUGAAAGGGCUCACUGACUCCUCUUUCAUCUCUCCCUGAGUAAUAGAUACCUGGUAGGCUGGCUCUCCUCCUCCCCCACUGUCAGCUUCCCCACCUGCCUCCUCAGACUUCUGGCUUGAAGAACCGCUUGCGUGAACACUGACACUAUUGAUUGUGUGUAAGUGGCGUGCGGGGCUGCUAGACAUCUACCUGGAUAUGCAGGCAAGAGGAUAGGGCUGGUUCAUCUACAUGAGCAGAGCAGGGAGGGUCUUGGAAGUCUCUGCUUGGUGUUCCCGACUGUUGAAUUUAAUUGGUUUAAACCAGUCGGCAGGAAGAGGUCUAGCUCAUCAAUCAGAACCUGCUUUGGAAAAGGCUGAUGGAUUGGGUGCACAUCUGGAAGUUCUGCAAAACCUAGAGAGUUUUGGUCUAGACUUUCCUUUCCUCCCUCUGUGACAAAAUACACACCACACAAAUGUUACCAUUGUGACUACUUAAAGAUAGACUCAGAGACAUUGAAGCAGCUCCAUGGCAUUGCACCACACCCACCCACAGCUUUCAUGAAUCUUCCUAACUUAAAGACUCUCCAUGCAACCUUAGUCAGUAAAUCAGCCUGUCUCAGCCCCCAUUGUCCUUAAAAACCACUGUUUGACCUCUCUCUGAGUUUAACCCUCAGCUUUAUAUAUGUGAAGUCACACAGUGACUGGCUGUGACUGGCUCCUUUCAAUGCACAUGCCAGCAUUUUAUAAUAAAUAAUUCUAUAAUAAGUAAAAUAUUUAUAAUAUAUUUUAUUAUAAAAAACUAUUUAUAAUAAGCAAAUAGUAUUUAUUUAGUCAUUUAUUUACUUUACCACAGUCUGCAUGUCCCCUCACUUACCCAUGGAUGUCCUGUUGUCUCUAACUUUGGCCGAUUGCGAACGGUGUUAUUAUAAACACGUGUGCAGAGACUGCCCUCCAGAAUCUCUGCUCUUGAUUGUCUGGGUUAGAAACCCAGAGGUAGACCACCAGAGCACUUGUCAGUCCUGUGUUUAGAAUUUUCAGGCUCUGUCAUACUGCUUUCCAUACCAGUUAUCCUGUGCCUUACCUACACCCAGCACUACACGGGAGGUCCAAGUUUUGUAGGGAUUACUGAAGUGCCAGUGCUCUCCCCCCAAUGCUUUUUUCCCCUCCUCCUCAGCGGAGGGGAAGACCACAGGCAACUUAAUGGGAUAUUUAGCUGAACUCACCCCUCAGCUGCCUCUUGUAUGUGAUUGAUAUCUAGAAGCUCUGUGGCAUUUCUUUCAAAGUAGAGUCUCAUCCUGGUCCAGCUGGCCCCUCCCCAGUGUCCUCCAUGUUCCUUCUGCUGCAGGGUGCCCUGGCAUUUUCUUCCUUCAACAAUGAAAUGAGAUUCCCUGGGAGGUGUACAUGCCAUGUGGUGUGUCCGUUUGCCUAUUAUGGACAAGGGUUGCUUCUGCCUUCUAGAUAAUGUAAAUAACGUUGUUAACAAUGUAGGUUUACAAAUAUCUUCUCUGGUUCCUCUGGACCCGCUGGCAGGUGGGAAUGAAGUUUCUGUAUCUUCAGUGCUGACUUUGAUACUGAGUCAUCAAAUGACCUUCACCAGAGAGCUGCUGUGCCAGACAAAGGCGUUGAGGACCAGCUGUAGGGAAGGAAAUUGAAGGGCUGGAGAACUAUGGAAUGAGAAGAUACAAGGUCAUUGAAAACUUUGAAAGUAAACCUCUGGAACACGGAUUACUAAUGUAUCUCCCAAGAGCGGAAGAUGGGCACCCCAAGCAAUAAAACACAGCAGGAAGGAACACAUAUGGGAAACCAUGCCUUGCCCAGGCACAUAGACAAGGAAUCCAGCUUGGUCAAACAGUCUUUUCUCACAUACAAGUGUACUCCUGGCUGUGCGUGUGCGCAGAUAUACUCACCACCAUUAUCAUAUCAGCUCCUGGUUUUCUAUAACAUACUCUGCAGCCACUGUCUUCUGUCCACCUGAUUCCAAAGCUUCUUUGGUCCUCACUGAGAUGAUGUGCACUGUCGGUGGUGUCUAGAACCUCGGGGUGUCAGAGCAGACAGAGUCCCAAGGAUCCUGGCUGUACCAACCAUUAGCAAGCACUUUAGAUACUAGAUUCAGAGGCUCCAAAGAGCACAGGGAAAGUGCGAAGUGAUUGCAACAGGACUAAAAACCCAGCACUUAGGGAGCUAAGGCAGGGGGAUUGUGAAUGGGACACCAACCUGGGCUGUUCUCAAAAGAGAAGGUACAAGUUGGGCACGAGAGAGAUCACAGCCAGGACAGCAGCAUGCUCAAGGGAUGUGGGAGGCUGGAUGGUAGCCACACACACACCCUUCAAGUCUACCUACAAUCUGAGGGGGGGGGGGCUGUCUUAUUUGAUCAUUUCAAGAUAAAAUGAUCCUGGACUUAAGGUGGGACCAUGAAUGUGAUGGAUGACUGGGGUCUUCAGCUUUCCCACAGCCCCAGGGAAAACCAGAAGCAUAGGUUAGACUGAAAUGCUGGUACUCCUGUCACUACUCAGAUCUGCACUCCUUCCCUUUCAUUUCUUGUCCAGGAAGGAACCAAGAACCCAGUGAGAGGUGACUAGUAUGACGGUGGGUGUCAUUUCUCUCUCCCCAUUCCCUCCCAGCCACCUUUCCCUCCCACUCGUCCCUCCUGGCUCCUUGUUUGUGAUUCCUCGCUGCCUUGUUUAACUAUCAGAACCCGUGCCAAAACCCAUACUUAGCUGCUGAAAGCUCCUUGCCGGGUUGCCUCUGAAGUUAAUGGCAGAGUCUUUGAAAAUGACCUUAGAAGCAAAUCAUAAGCAACCGAGGACAUGAAACUACCUCAAGUCCGUCUGUUGGAGUGCGAGCCACCUCCAAGCUUCCAUUCCCAUGUAAAACAGAAGAUAUGAUUUAUAAUUUAUAGCGCAUCGGUACAGCCCUGAUUGAAGCAAACCACUUUGAUGAAGAGUUGGUUUCAUGCUAGUGUCGUGGAACACCACUCCAAAUCAGAAAAUAUUUAGAACUCCAACUCCUCUGCUCUGACUUUGAAGUAAAGAGAUUUGUAUUUUAUGUGCUUCUCUGAACGAAAAAAAAAUAAAGAAAAAUGUGUGUACACUCCAACAUGCAUGUGGUAGGAAUAUGAAAACAUUUACAUGUGUAUCAGCACCAAAAUGUAAUUACUGCAUUAGGCACUGAAAAUAUUUAUAGACUCAUAUCUCAUGUGGAAGACCUGGUUCCAAUAAUUCUCAGAAAAUUGUGAAAUUCAGACUUUGUUUUCUUGGGACUAACUUAAUUUAUUUGAAAUUGACAACACAUGAAGGACAAAAAUCAAAGCCCGUCAACUUUCCACCACCCCAGCUAAUGACCUAUUAAAGUUGUGAGUAUAUACUGUGUCUCUAUUUGUAGGUGAACAUGUCAUGGGGAAAGAAGGAAUGAGGUACUUUUCUCAUCAUUGUAACAAAUAACUGGAAAGCAGCAACUUCAGGGAGAAAUUGAUUUGGGGGAUUCACAAUUUCAUGGUGGGGUGAGAGAGUUCCAUGGUGGUAAGAGGGUGAGUGAUUUGUUCACAUAUUGAUGAACCAGGAAGCAGCCAGAACAUGCAAGGAAACUGGGGGCCACAAGGCUCCCUGACCUAAGCAUCCCAUUCCCUUGAACCUGACUCCACCUCCUAAAGGUUCCCCAAACUUCAAAAACAGCAUCACCUAAGGGGUACAGAGUAUUCAAGCACAUGAGCUUGUAGGAUAUAGUCCACACUCAAGGCUAAGAGUUAGCCUCUGGCCUCCAUAGGCUAAAGGCCAUCUCAUAAUAUGUAAUAUAUUUAAUCUAACUUCAAAAGUCCCCAAAAUCUCAUAGCCAUGAGCCCCUGUGAGAUAACAAAAAAAAAUCACAGUCUCAUGGCACAGAGGAAACAUUUAUAUCCCAAUCAAGAGGAAUGGGGUACAGGGAGAAAAGUUCAGCCAAGACCAAACCCCAGCAGAGCAAAUACCAUUGCAACUCUUCAUUUAUAGCAUUUAGGUCUUCUGGUAGCAUAGUCUGGUCUCUAGUAGGCUUAGGUAUAGUUCUGUCUUGAAGCAGCUCCACGCAGUGUUGCCACCUUUUCUCAGCAGAAGUUCCAUGUUUGUGAUAUGUCCUGGUGUCUCCAUUGCAACUCAGGUUUCAUUUUCAGGGUUACAAGCAAGGACCUCUCAGGUUCUUUUGCAAAGGAUCUAACAUUGCUAUAUACUAUAGUGCUUGGUUUCACCAGCUUAUUUUCCGGAUCUUCAGUGUAAGGCUUCAUGACCCCAUAACUCCUGCAUUCUGCAUACCUACAAACCCAGCAAGCAGCAUCGAUGCUCUGCUCACCUCACUGAAGAUGUAGACACCUCUCACUUGGGCCAGUACUAUAGUGGCGUGCAACUGAAAACACAGUGGGAAAACACUGCCCCAGCUUCUGUGUUCCACGAGGACACAUGUGUGCUUGGGACUUUGUGAACAAAGGAAUGGCCAACUCAGAGCUGAAGAAUCAUUGUGGGAAGGUGAUGGGAUGGGGUGCAUUCGAGACAAUGCAACUGCAAAGAUCCUAUGACUCAAGCACUUAGGACGAGAGUCCUGGAAGGGUGGCCAUAGGAAGGACAUCAUACUGGGGUUCGAGAACAAAUGAGAACUAGAGAAAGGUACUGGCUUGAGAAGAAGGCAAUGACACAAGACUCAUUCUUACCUGAGAAUGGAAGGAAAAUUGGGGGAGAAGAACUGAGCGUGAAUUUCAAGACAGCCGACAGGAGCUUCUGCUUAAGAGCGAUGGAAUAGAGGAGUCGAUAGUGGUGGUGUUAGGACUGGAAGGGAAAACAUGCUCAUCCUCAGGACAUAGAUUUAAGAAGCUUUUUUUCUGGGGCUGGAGAUGUGGCUCUGUGCUUAAGAGCACUGGCUGCUCUUCCAGAGGACCCAGGUUCAAUUCUCAGGACCCACAGGGUAGCUCAAGACUGUCUGUAAUUCCAGGGGUUUUCCAAUACCCUCACACAGACAUACACACAGGCAAAACAGCAAUGAAUAUAACAUAAAAAUAUUAAAAAAAAAAAGCUUGUUUCUGACAGGUAUGCUCAUGUGACUUGUUUCAGCCAAUGAAUUGUGAGCAGAAGUGACAUGACCAUUCAGGAUAGAGGCUUUAAGGGGUGAUGGUGACUGGUUCUGCUAUUGGUCUAUCAUGUCAAAUUCUGGCUGUUUAUUACUCCUAGGUCUCUGGGUGGGAGAGCCCCAGAGCAGAGCCCAGAUGGCCUACUGGAUCCAGAACAUGAGGCAGAAUCAUCAGAAACCCUGUGAUGGGGCAAGUGUUUGCCUAGGCAUCAGAAUUAAGCCUGCCCUACAGAGACAAGAGGGGAAAGGAUGUAGGUAGGGAAGAAAGGAGAGGGAGGUAAUUCUCCAGACUAUCUGCCCAGAGCUUACCUCCAGCUCUCCAGUCCAGCUCAGCCUUGCUAGUGUGUCUCCAGCUCCCAAUUCCAACUGAUGCUUUUCAGUAUGACACGGAGGAAAGUGAGCAUGCCUUCUGCGAGUGUGACGCUGAAUGGCAGUGAAGUACUUGAGCGAAGAAACAGUCUCUGCAAGGGCUUCCUCCACAUUGUUAUUCUGCACAGAUGUCUGCACGCACUUGACAUAAGAAGAUUCAAUUAAACUGUCUGGCCACUGUUUCAUGAUACAACCACAGAGUUGUUCUAAAGGGUCAAGGCAUGAUGGGAAUAUUUAACUCCUGGUAGGAGCAGAGAGUAAUUGGAGCAAGCUGGAAGAUGUUUCAGCAUCUGAAGGAUGUGGUGAUCAUUUAGCAGAGGGGCUUAUGGGCAAGACUGGCCACAGGGGAAUAAUGACAUAAUGCACUUGUCAAAGGAGCCUAGGAGCAUUGCACCCUCGACAAGGACAGAGGGAAAAGAUCAGAAACCCCAGUUUAACUGGGCAUGCACACCUUUAAUACCAGCACUUGGGAGGCAGAGGCAGAUGGAUCUCUGAGUUCAAGGCUGACCUGGUCUACAGAGUGAGUUCCAGGACAUUCAGGGCUACACAGAGAAAUCCUGUCUCAAUGCCCCUCCCUCCAACAAAAAGUGUUGUAGGUCCUCGAAGUUGAGAGCUCUCUGACUCAGCCUUAUUAUGCCCUACUUCCUGUUUUUGCUGGAUUAUUCUACUCAAUCAAUGCUGGAUGCCCUGAUUACCAGAAUGAAGGUGAAAAAAUUAAUAUAGAGAAGGCGAAGGCUUGCUUUAGGUGUCAGGGACAAGGAUGAUAGGCAAAUGUCCUCAGGUGACAGGUAAGUAUGCCAGACCUAAGGACCUACCUACAACUGGAGGCUAUAAGGGGCACAGUUGCCUUUCUCUCGUACUAGUAUUGACAUGUGCAGAAUAGUAUGUGGUUGAUGUUUUCAUUUACUUACUUAUUUUUGCCAUGCUAGGGGAGGUCAAACUCAGGGCUUUGUGUAUACCAGAUAAGGCCUCUACUGCCGAGCUACAUCUCCAAUCCUAAAAGGAGAGUGGGCUCUGGAGCAGGGAGGCUUGUGGAGGGGGACACACACACACACAAAGCACCCCUUCUCUGUUCACUGUAGGAACUCCAAACUUUCCUGUCUGUUUCCCAUCAUGCAUUUCCACACUCAGUUCCAAUUUCAUAUUGCUUUAGAGCAGUGGUUCCCAACCUUCCUAAUGCUGUGACCCUUUAGUACAAUUCCUCAUGUUGUGGUGACCCCCAGUCAUAUAAUUACUUUCAUUGAUACUUCAUAACUGUAAUUUUGCUAUUGUUAAUGAAUUGCAGUGUAAAGAUCUGUGUUUUCUGAUGGCCUUAGAUGACCCCUGUGAAAGGUCAUUCAACCCCCAAAGGGGUUGCGACCCACAAGUUGAGACUUGCUGCUUUAGACAGUUCUGUUUCUUCUCCACAUCCUCUGGACUUCUGGAAGAGGACUGUCUUUGAGGGGCUGCCACUUUGGCCCUGACCUGCCCCUACAGAUCCUAGGGACUGUAUGGAGAUUGUUUAGCCAUGGUUCCAAUCAUCUGAGAGCCCCAUUGUAGCACAGGGAACCAUCAAGUCCUUGGCCUUCUGGCCGAUGUCCCAGUUUCCAUCCAUGUGGGGAUUCAGAGCUCAACCCCCGGCACAUCUCCAGGUUCUCUCCUCCUUUCCCAAAGCCUACUUGAAAAAUUUCUAGAAACGAUGUGCCUCUUCCUGGUCACUCUUGCC